GUUAGACCAUUUGUAACAGGACUCGGUUAGUCCGGUAUAUUUGCGGGAUAUCCUGCGUUCGUAGAUAGAACGGCUAAUAAUGGCUGUGGAGUCAGGUCAACGACAAUGAGCUCGACUGGGUGUGAGCAACGAUUAGAACACACUUACCGGGUCUAAUCUGACCAAAUAGUCCUAUGGGAAACCGCAAGCUUUAAGUAGCUGUCAUAGAGUUGUCGGCUCCACGUGAUUUACGUUCUUCCAUGAUGUAUUUCAAACGAGGAAAACUGAUACUUUCUUUAGAAAAAUUAUCUGUA
rnacentral:misc_RNA from 1 species